AUGGGCUCUGGCGAAGCCGCUUCUGCUUCCAGCUGCGUCCUUUCAUCUGCCAGUACUGAGCACCCAGCGCUGCCAAGGCAGCCCAGUUCCUUUCCCAGUAAAGCAGAGAAGCCCUGAGCCGUGUCUGUGUGCACCAGGGGCCUGGGGACGGGGCUGGGGGCUCCAGGGGCAGCACAGUGAGCAGAGGGGGCAGCGAUGUUUAUUAUCCCCACCCCACUGGCACAGCGCCCCCAGGCAGGUACAAAAAAGGUGUUUGGGCGUGGGGCUCAGUGCGGGGUCUCGGCGUGGAUCUCAGUGCUGGGGGGCCCUGCCAGGGGGGUGCCAGCCAUGCCCAGCUCCUUGGCUCGCCGCUGGCACUCGCGGGCCACCACCACGGGGCUGACAAAAGCCACCAGCACCACGGUGAUGAGCCCCAGGUUCAUCUGCAGAGGGGAAGAGUGUCAGGGAAGGGGUCUGGGGGGCCGUCCCCCAUCCCCUGUGUUAGGCCAGGACCCUUGUGGCAGCACCUCCAUUUCUCCAGAAGCAGGACGCCCUGGAGGUGCAGGACCCCCAUUUCUCAUGGCAUAAGACCCAGUCAUUCCUGGGGGAAGGACUCCAUCCCUCCCGGGGCAGCAUCCCCAUUUCCCCAUGUGGCAGGACCCCAUUUUCAUAUGGGCAGGACUAGAAUCCCCAUUGUCCCAAGGGGUGAGACCCCCAUUUCCCCAUGUGGCAAGACCCCUUCCCUCCCAGAGCAGCCCCCCAGCCCUCUCUCGGGGGGCACACUCACAUAGAAGGGGUCCCCCUGGAGCGGCCCCUGCACCAGGGCAACACAGGGGUACUGCAGCAGGGCCACCAGCGCCGACAGUGCCAUGGCCAGCCCAUAGAGCUUCCCGAAGUGCUGCGGGGGAAACCUGCCAGGCACCCAUGUCACCAAUGGGCACCUCCUGGCACCCCUACCCUGGCACCCUCCUGAGCCCUGACACCUCCACUGUGUCACCUGCCCCCCUCCAGUCCCACCGCCAUCCCCUGCCACCCUCCAGAGCCACCGCCAUCCCCUCCCACCCCUUGCUGACCUUGCCGCCCUGGCUNCUCAUCCUCGGGCAGGGGGGUGAAGGUGCCGCUCUUUCCUGGCCUCAGUGCCUCUGCCAUCAAAGCCAAACUGAGGGGUCGCAACCGCUCGGCCGAGGAGGGGACAUCAUCAGAGGACAGCAAGGGGACCCCUCCUAA
rnacentral:lncRNA from 1 species